CCGGCCGUGUUCUAGGCUCUCACUUAUCAGCAUCACCAUGGCAGUGCCUGCAGGAUCCAUGGAUUCUACAGUAUCAAGGGAGUGGGCAGCCCUCCCACACUGAUACAUGUUGUGCCUCUCCCUGGAUGCUUGACUCCUAUAAGGUCAAGGAAAAAGCAAGGCUCAUAGGCAAAGAGCCCCCGAUCUCCACCAGCAGCCUUAGUUUCCCUCUCAGGCCUCUUUUGCCAGUGUUCUAACCUGCAUUCCACUCAACUGUGAGAUAACACCUUGGGAUCCUUUCUUAUCGCAUUCUUCGCCCCUAACCCACCCAGCGGCACGCAGGGCGCACUUGGCAUCUUGUUUCCCCGCUCUCGAAGUAAGGUUAGAGGCUGAGAGAGGGGUAGAGACACACUAUCUCUUAAGUUGUAGUUCUUCCAGUUCUGUUGGCAGCCAGCUCAGCAUCAGGAGGAAACAGCUGUGUGACCUAGAAAUGCAGCCUCGAGUUCUGGAGGCACAGACAUGUAUCAGUUUUAUGGAAGAUAUGGAAGGUGAUAAACCCCGGUGUUCAGAGAGCGUGGGUGAUUGUGUGCGUUUGUCCUCCAUCAGCUGCCUCCAUGGAUAGUGGAUG
rnacentral:lncRNA from 1 species